rnacentral:lncRNA from 1 species
GUGAUUUUGAGGAAAGUGCUGAUUUUUAUUGAGCAUGAUUUAACUCAAGCUGCAUCCUUUUUUUUUUUUCUUUUUAAGGAUAAUCACUUCAAAAUGAUUAAUGAUGCCUAAAGCCACCGGUCUUACUUCCUGUGGCGAAAUGCGGAACUUUUGUGCAAGUCUGGGUUUGUAGGAGGGUGUGCUCCAAGCCUCCGGGAGAGAGAGAGGUUCCCAUCCCGUGCGGACAGUUGGGUCAUUGUUUGGGAAGGGGCUGCGGAUUGGGACCACGUCCCCUGCAGGGAGAGAAGCAUUGCUCCAGUUACGAAAAGGAAGUGAAAUCGGUUACCUCGAAAGGUGCCAGAACAAUUUUGCUGCCGGGAUAGCGGUGGGACACAUCUGCCUAUCACCGAGGGGAAGCUACCUGGGCACCCAAGGACAAGACUGGAGAUGGUGAAUUGCCCGUGCCUUCAGAAGAGAAG